rnacentral:rRNA from 1 species
AUACGAAGGGGGCUAGCGUUGUUCGGAAUUACUGGGCGUAAAGCGCGCGUAGGCGGAUUGGUCAGUUAGGGGUGAAAUCCCAGGGCUUAACCCUGGAACUGCCUCUAAUACUGCCAGUCUUGAGUUCGGGAGAGGUGAGUGGAAUUCCUAGUGUAGAGGUGAAAUUCGUAGAUAUUAGGAAGAACACCAGUGGCGAAGGCGGCUCACUGGCCCGAUACAGACGCUGAGGCGCGAAAGCGUGGGGAGCACACAGGAUUAGAAACCCUAGUAGUCC